UGGGUUGUGGCUCAGAGAUAAAGCACUCGCCUAACAUGUGUGAGGCACUGGGUUUGAUCCUCAGCACCACAU
rnacentral:tRNA from 1 species